rnacentral:lncRNA from 1 species
AUAUAUAAUAAACAUAAUAUUGUAUAUAUAUUAUAAUACAACCUUAAUUGAAUACAUAAAAUAAGUAUAUAUUAUAAAUAUGAAUAAAAAUUAAAUAUGAAUAAACAGACUUUUAUUUAAAGGGUUUUUUUUGUUUGUUUUUAUUUGGUUAGAGACAGGGCUUCUUUUAGUUUUGGUCGGGGUUUUUUGAGGCAUUCAUUUAGGAGGAUUUUUUGAAGGGAUGGGACUCGCUGCCUUUUGCUUCGCUUCUCUCUCUGUCCCCGAAGCGCCGCAGACCGGGCUGAGUUCGGCGGCAGCGCUGCCGCCUUGUGGGCACAGCGCGGUACUGCAGCCGCCCCCGAGCCGGCGCCUGGCAGUGCUGCCGCCUUGUGGGCACAGCCCGGUACUGCAGCCAUUCCCGAGCCGGUGCCUGGCAGUGCUGCCGCCUUGUGGGCACAGCCAGGUACUGUGUGCGUGCCCCUCUCAAGAUGGCGGAAGCGACCGCGUGCCGGGACCCUGCCAUGUGGGAUUGUGCCACGCUCAAGCUGGCAGCCACAGAAGGACACCGGCCGAGAGAGGCGUCCCCGAGCUGCCUGCCGCCGCUCGCGUCCUCGUGCCGGGAAAGGUGGUGGAAAAUCGCGCCGAGAGCGCGGGAUCGGCGUCGCGUCCAGAAUCAGGCAGGUGACUUAGAAAGACGCCAUUGUGAGGGCCCUUAAGGGUACCACAACAAAGAUGGCGACCAGACCAGAAGUCGUUUGUGCCGUACAAAAGAUGGCGGCAGAGGAUGGAGGUAGAACGGAAAUUACGUCAUGCCACUCCCAAGAUGGCAGCUCGGUUGCCACUUACCUGACCUUCUAAAUAUGGCGGCAAAAAGGACGGGAAAAAGCAAGCACCCCUAGUCCGUCUAGUGGACUGCCUGCGCAUGACCCCGACACCGAUCCCUCCUGGCGCGAUUUUCCGCGGUGUUUCCAAGCGUGACGAGGCCCCGGGGGGAGGGAGGGGGUGGGUGGGGUUUUCGUCACUCUGCAGCGAGAACAGGCACACAAGAAAAUCCGCCAGAAAAAUGAACGGCCCCCCCUGGGGGGGGGGGGGGGGGGGGGGGGGGGGGGGGGGGGGGGGGGGGGGGGGGGGGGGGGGGGGGGGGGGGGGGGGGGGGGGGGGGGGGGGGGGGGGGGUUUUUUNNNNNNNNNNNNNNNNNNNNNNNNNNNNNNNNNNNNNNNNNNNNNNNNNNNNNNNNCCCACUCGCCAGGACCUCUUCCCUCAGGAGGGGGCCCACCCUGAACUCACCCCCCCCGGAUCCCCCCUAAAGCGCACCCGGGGGGGGGGGGGGGGGGGGGG